rnacentral:tRNA from 1 species
GGCCAGGUAGCUCAGUCGGUAGAGCAGAGGACUGAAAAUCCUCGUGUCGGUGGUUCAAUUCCACCCCUGGCCA